AGAAUCAACGCUGGCGGCGUGCCUAACACAUGCAAGUCGCACGAGAAAGGGGCUUCGGCCCUGAGUAAAGUGGCGCACGGGUGAGUAACACGUGAAUAAUCUACCUCCGAGUGGGGAAUAACUGAGAGAAAUCUUGGCUAAUACCGCAUAAUACCCACGGGUCAAAGCAGUAAUGCGCUUGGAGAGGAGUUCGCGGCAGAUUAGCUAGUUGGCGGGGUAAUGGCCCACCAAGGCGAUGAUCUGUA
rnacentral:rRNA from 1 species